CACAAAGUCGCCUUUCCCCAGAAUGAAGGUUGAGAAAAUGAGUUGUCAGUGAGGCAUCAGAUUUCUUGUUUUCAUUGAGAUUUGAGCUCCCAUGUGGAAGCUGCCGGCUCCUGCCAAAAGAAAGGAAAUGUGGUUCUCAGCUGGGCGACCCCUGGGCUUCACUGCUGCAAAAUGCCCUUCAGGAGCCCUGAGGCUGGAACCAAAUCAGGAACAGCUGGGAAAGAGAGCUAUUUGUCAACCCAACCAGAUCAUAAGCAACCCCAGGGCAGGGACCGGGUCUUUUUCAUGUUCUACUUUCUCCAAUCCACAGGCCCUGGGAUAGACUCGUGUACCCUGUGUGUUCUCCAUACACAUGCAGCAAAUUAAACACAGAGUUAAGAUGGUGCAGGAAACCUGGACGCUUGCAGGGAGAGUCAUUUGUCUUCAACGUGAGGAUGAAUCUGAAGCUCUCCCUGCAGAAUGUGGGAUCCACUUUCAAAUCUGGACAGAGGCUUUCAUCCAACCUGCAGAAGAUCCUGGCAGUUCCCAUUUAGACUCUCUCCAGACCCUUGGCGUCAGUCAGAGGAAAUCUGCAUAGCUGGGUUCAAAGACUUGUUACCCCUCCUGCUUGUCUCUUCCUGUUAAAUAAUGUGACAAAGAAAGGAGGCCAUGGGAAGAAAAGGUGCUGGAGCUUUCUGGUUGAACUGUCUUUUCCAAGAGAACCUGAGUUCCUGGGGCAGGAGGCAUGGACUUUCUCUCCCAGCUCACAGCCAUGGUGGGCUAUUGUUGAAGGUGGCUUUGGGUUUAUUCCGUCUGUCCCAUUUUGCAAAAAUAUUUGUGCAGAGACUUCUGUGCCUGACCCACAGUCAGCAGCAGACAGGAGCCACGGAUUCUUCUUGCAGCGUUUUACAGGGUGACGGAUCAGAUAAUGUACACUUAGCGAGUGCACAAAUAAUGUGAAUCAGGGUUGGCAUAGUGCAGUGAGGUGUAAAAAAAGCAAUUUGAAUUGUUCUAGGGAAACGCCAGAGCUGCUCUGACAUGCUUGCUUGCCAGAACGCUGCCCUGUGCCCCUCCAGAGGGCUGAGCUCCAGGCUCUGGCUGGAAUGGCAACGAGGCUGCCCAG
rnacentral:lncRNA from 1 species